rnacentral:rRNA from 1 species
CCUACGGGCGGCAGCAGUCGAGAAUCAUUCACAAUGGGGGAAACCCUGAUGGUGCGACGCCGCGUGGGGGAAUGAAGGUCUUCGGAUUGUAAACCCCUGUCAUGUGGGAGCAAAUUAAAAAGAUAGUACCACAAGAGGAAGAGACGGCUAACUCUGUGCCAGCAGCCGCGGUAAUACAGAGGUCUCAAGCGUUGUUCGGAAUCACUGGGCGUAAAGGGUGCGUAGGCUGUUGUGUAAGGCGUGUGUGAAAGGUGGGGGCUGAACCGGCGAAUUGCACAUGAUACUGGGAGACUAGAGUAUGGGAGAGGUAGGCGGAAUGCGUGGUGUAGCGGUGAAAUGCGUAGAGAUCGCGAAGAACA